CUCGGGAAGACUGAGCAAGAGGCUCAGAGUCUUAGCUAAGGACAAGCAAGUCGGGACUUCUAAUAUGACCUAAUGCCAUCAACGGGGGAGGGCAGUUCAGCACAAGAAGGGAGCGCCAGCUGGGUCGUGAAUCUAAUGGUGCCACAGUUUCGGGAGCAGAACAGACCACCCCACGAUGGGAACGGGACAACCAUCUGUAUCCCUUGGGCAAACUGGGGUUAUUUUAUGAAUACCCUGCAAUGACUCCUUUUGGGCUGUGGACCUACUGCAUCUUUCCAGCACUGUCGGCUUAUCUGCAACACACCCCUGCCUCUCAGGUCAGAAGCAAAUGUCAGCCCCUCCUACCCAUCCACCCCAUCCAUGGCCUUGCCGUUCCUGGCCAGAGUGGUCCCUACCCCUUGACUGAGCAGUAACACUAAAGGGACUAUAAAUUUGCUUC